UAUCUUAAAGAGUUAGUUGUUGGUGGUCUGGAUCGUGUUUAUGAGAUAGGAAAGCAAUUUAGAAAUGAGGGCAUUGAUUUGACUCAUAAUCCUGAGUUCACAACCUGUGAGUUCUAUAUGGCUUUUGCGGACUACAAUGACUUGAUGGAACUAACUGAGAGAUUGUUGAGUGGAAUGGUCAAGGAAAUUACAGGUGGCUACAAAAUU
rnacentral:misc_RNA from 1 species